rnacentral:rRNA from 1 species
UACGUAGGGUGCGAGCGUUGUCCGGAAUUAUUGGGCGUAAAGGGCGCGUAGGCGGCUUUGCAAGUGACGGGUGAAAUCCCCCGGCUUAACCGGGGAACUGCCUGUCAGACUGCAUGGCUUGAGACCAGGAGAGGUGAGUGGAAUUCCCAGUGUAGCGGUGAAAUGCGUAGAUAUUGGGAGGAACACCAGUGGCGAAGGCGGCUCACUGGACUGGUACUGACGCUGAGGCGCGAAAGCGUGGGGAGCAAACAGG